AUCUAGAAGUGAACCUAGGAUCUCCGUCUGAUACAAUGGAUACCGGCACUCCAUGAAGCCUCACAAUCUCAUCAAUGUACAACCUGGCCAAUCUGUCUAGACUGUAGUCCAUUCGGACUGGCAGAAAAUGAGCAGACUUAGUUAGUCUAUCGACAAUGACCCAUACUGCAUCAUGACUCUUCUGUGUCCUCAGAAGUCCUAUCAUAAAAUCCAUUGUUAUUCUCUCCCAUUUUCAUUCUGGCACUAGUAGUGAAUGUAAUAACCCAGUUGAUACUUAAUGCUCUGCCUUCACUUGCUGACAAGUUAGGCAUUUG
rnacentral:misc_RNA from 1 species